rnacentral:lncRNA from 1 species
UGAAAAUCUAGACACACAACAGCUGCGAGAACUAAUAAGAGAAACUUAAUUGUUACUCAUUUUGCAGCUGGUUGAUCUUGUCUCCAAAUCUAUGGCUAAUCUUUCUUCCCCAUGUUUCAUCAUUCUGCUCUCGAUCAUCACCCUGUCAAUCAACGUAGAUGCGCGGCGUCUUCUAGAGGCAACAUUGCCUGAGCUUCCUAAGCCUGAGUUGCCAUCACUUCCUAAGGUUGAGCUUCCACCAUUACGUGAAGUCCCAAUCUUGCCUAAACCUGAAAUUCCUACUCUUCCAAAACCCGAAUUGCCCGAGUUACCAAAGCCUGAGCUGCCGGCUUUACCCCACUUGCCUGAGCUCCCAAAGCCUACAUUCCCUGUUAUACCCACAAUUCCUAAGGACACCAAACCUCUUCAGUCAACCACCAGUCCUUAAACAAUGAUCUCAUCUCCGUUGAUUUCGCAUUUGUCAGCGUGAUUUAUUGUUUUACGAGUGUCUGCUUCAUGUUUGCUUAUGUUGUAGUGAUUUAUUUUCUAUAUAUGUUUGGAGUUUAUCUUCUUCAUGUAAAGUUGACCUAGCUUAUAUAUAUGAUUAUGGGUAUGAAUAUAAUCAAUGUAAAUAAACAGUUUAUGAUCCAAGCGUCUAUUUUAAUAGUUUUUAUUUUCACAAACACGACAGCCCAUAAAAUUAAACAUGAAGAAAAUCAAGAAUAUGAAAUAUAAUUUUAUUAAAAAAAAUCAAUGCAAAAAAUUUUUUAAUUUAGACUAGCCCAACCAUUUUGGGUAUUGGGAGAGUUAUAAUCCUAUAUAAAAAGUUUUCUUAAAAGAUAAAUGAUUACUUAUUCAGCCAAUAUUAUUUUCUUACUUAAUUUUAGUCAUUACAAAAAAAAACUAUCAGCGACGGAAUUUUCCGUCGCUAAUAGUCCAAAAUUCGUCGCUGAAAUUAUCAGCGACGGAUUUCCGACGGCAUAAAAUACGUCGCUUAAAGUCAUGUCGCUAAUUUUUCCGACGGAUCUGAAAUACGUCGGAAAUAUUUGCGAUGGAUUUCCGACGGAUCAUGCUUCGAAAACUUUAGCGACCAACUUUGUUCGUCGCUAAAUCCGUCGGAAGAAGCAGAAUUCAUCCAAUAACCAAUUCGUCGCUAAUCUUUCAGAAAUAAUUAGUGACAGAAAAAAUCCGUCGGCAAUCCAUCGGAAAUUUCAAAAUAAUAUAGUUUGUUAAAACAUCAUAUAUUCUAUUUUUUAUUGUAAGAAAUCGCAUAAUAACUAAAUAAAAAUAAUAUAGUUUUUCUCAAAUCUAAUUUAAUUUAAUUGUUAAAAAGCAUAUAACUCAUGGAUUCAAUCUCCUAUUUCAAUGGUUAAUUCACAUUUGAUCUAUAUCAACUUUCAGCGGUACAAUUCAAUUCUGUCUUUAAUAAUGGGAAUUCUAUUCUCCAUUUAUUUUCCAGAAAGUGAUUUAUAUGUUAAAAAUAUUUUUCAAAAAGAAGCAAAAAAAAUUAUACCGCUGCAGGCAAGCUCCCCACCUGUGGUUGCAGCAAACAGGACAAUAGCCAACAUAACUCCACGAGUAGAAAGAAAAAAAAAACAAAGUCAAGUAGAUAACUUCCCAUAUCAACAAGGCAAGUCUUACAAGUGAGAAGUUGAACUGACUGCAGGCAAGCUCCCCACCUGGGCUGGCACCCACACAAACUUCAAAACUGGCCUAUUUUCGACUUUCCAAAUCUAUAAAAGCCCAGCAAAAUUGAAUAUUAACACAUACAAGACACAAGACAGAUUUCAACAUUUUAGGAGUUGCUACAACCUCUAUACCUUUCAAAGUAGCUAGCUCUUGAUUCUUGUAUCUGCUUCAAGUUAUGGCUAAAGUUCAUGCCACCGUAGUAUUUCCACUGUUGGUGAUUUCCUUGAUUAGCUACCACAAUUUCCAGGUAAAGGCUCGUCAUCUCCUGGAGACGACGUUGCCUGAGGUGCCUGAGCUUCCUAAGCCUGAAUUGCCUCAACUGCCACUACUGCCUAAGGUUGAGCUUCCACCAUUACCUGAAUUCCCAACCUUGCCAAAAC